rnacentral:rRNA from 1 species
AUACUGGAUAGGCAAUUUUUCCUGUAAUGGUUUUUUGUUUAAAUGUUUUUUCGCCUAAGGAUGGGUCUGCGGCCGAUUAGGUAGUUGGUUAGGUAAUGGCUUACCAAGCCGUUGAUCGGUACGGGUUGUGAGAGCAAGAGCCCGGAGAUGGAACCUGAGACAAGGUUCCAGGCCCUACGGGGUGCAGCAGGCGCGAAACCUCCGCAAUGUGAGAAAUCGCGACGGGGGGAUCCCAAGUGCCAUUCUUAACGGGAUGGCUUUUCAUUAUGUAAAAAGCUUUUGGAAUAAGAGCUGGGCAAGACCGGUGCCAGCCGCCG